rnacentral:misc_RNA from 1 species
CCUCGUUCGAUUUAGGUCCAAUUAGAUAUUGACUCUUUGAGUAGCUCGUAUAGGCAGCGAACGCUAUACCAGUCCAUAAUGGAUGCCAGCAAAGGUCAUUGAUGACUUUAUUAGCCACGUGCUGUUCAUCGUGAAAGCUCAAGUGUUCCUCAUAGCUUACAGAUUGAAAGAAAACUAACUUGAUCGCACACAUAGUCGCUGAAACGAUGAAGGAAGCUCCUCAAAGAUUCUACUUUAUCUGGCGUAAAUUUCGAUAUAUCCGGAGACUUAUAUUCAUAUUUAUACUGAACCCAACAAUUUUUUACGAGGAAUAUUUUCAAAGAUUUGACGGUAAGGAAGAAGUUCGAUGUAUCCAUCUCUAACAUCGUUUACUUUUCUGUCUUCGAAUUGGAAUGACGCAUUGAAUAUAUCUGCUGUUCCUAUUACCUAAAAUGAACCGAUGAUGUACGAUCAUCCAAAAGUGAACAUUUACUUAUUUUUAACAAAAUGUAAUAUAAUUGCAAAAUUAUCAAAAAGAAUAUUCAGGACGAUUUUAUCUUAAAUAUCGUAAAAUAUUACAUUAUAUAUACAUAUAUAUAUAUAUAUAAUUAUAUACCAUAGAUUCUCUAUAUGUGUAUAGUAAAAGUCCAUUUCAUUCUCCA